rnacentral:rRNA from 1 species
AUACGGAGGGUGUAAGCGUUAUUCGGAAUCACUGGGCGUAAAGGACGCGUAGGCGGGUUGGCAAGUCAGAUGUGAAAUCCUACAGCUUAACUGUAGAACUGCAUUUGAAACUGCUAACCUAGAGUAUGGGAGGGGGAGAUGGAAUUAGUGGUGUAGGGGUAAAAUCCGUAGAUAUCACUAGGAAUACCGAAAGCGAAGGCGAUCUCCUGGAACAUAACUGACGCUAAGGCGUGAAAGCGUGGGGAGCAAACAGGAUUAGAAACCCUAGUAGUCC